AGGUUGUUCCUCUGCUGGAAGAGCACGUGCCUCGCCUGGCCUCUUUGUCUGGACACCUUCUUUUCUUUAAGAAUCCACCCAGGAAUGGCUCCUGACGCUUCCAGAUUUCCUAGCACUGGGCCUUAUAACAGCAUUUCUUAAAAUGGGGUCCCCAGUCCAACAGCAUCAGCAUCACAUGGGAAUUUGCUAGAAAUGCAACUUUUGGAGCCCUCCUUGGACCUCUGGGAUCUAAAACUCUGCAGUGAGAACACGAGACUUUUGAAAAAACACAGACGAUGAAACUAUGUGCUCUUUCAGCCAAUACAAUGUGGGAAGUUUUUCUGUUUGUUAAAAUAAUUCAGGUCCUUACAGGGUAGCUUGGUGUAAAUGUGGCCACAGACUCUCAGUUUGGGUCCUCUCAUCUGGUCCUCCACCGUCUAAGGCCAGCACACCAUUCCUGAAGCCCAGCUUCACACCCUGGAUUUUACCCCUCAUCCCUUGAGGACCCGAAGACAAACAGCCUUGUCAACGCACUAGUGCUUUGUCUCACCUCAACUGCAAAGUGGCCAUGGGGUCUUCACCAGCAGCUGGGGAGGAUGCUCCAGAAACUGGCCCUGAUAGCUUUGCCCUGUAACUUGACUGGAUUGCAACCACUAUGGAGUUGGGUCAGACACAACCACUGGGCAGCUGACACGAGAUCUGCACAUUUGUUACUAGAAGAGCCAGAAGGCCACCCACUGUUCCUCCUAGUGAACCACUGGCAGAGCAGGUAUGGCUUAGAGCCCAGUUUCAUGCUUGACUACUGAUAUGGUUUGGCUGUGUUCCACCCA
rnacentral:lncRNA from 1 species